rnacentral:rRNA from 1 species
UAGGGAAUCUUCGGCAAUGGACGAAAGUCUGACCGAGCAACGCCGCGUGAGUGAAGAAGGUCUUCGGAUCGUAAAAUUCUGUUGUUAGAGAAGAACGUUGCAUAGAGUGGAAAAUUAUGCAAGUGACGGUAUCUAACCAGAAAGGGACGGCUAACUACGUGCCAGCAGCCGCGGUAAUACGUAGGUCCCGAGCGUUGUCCGGAUUUAUUGGGCGUAAAGCGAGCGCAGGUGGUUUAAUAAGUCUGAUGUAAAAGGCAGUGGCUCAACCAUUGUGUGCAUUGGAAACUGUUAGACUUGAGUGCAGUAGAGGAGAGUGGAAUUCCAUGUGUAGCGGUGAAAUGCGUAGAUAUAUGGAGGAACACCGGUGGCGAAAGCGGCUCUCUGGACUGUCACUGACACUGAGGCUCGAAAGCGUGGGUAGCAAACAGGAUUAGAUACCCUGGUAGUCCACGCCGUAAACGAUGAGUGCUAGUUGUUUGGGGCUAUCCAGCCCUAAGUGACGCAGCAA